rnacentral:rRNA from 1 species
UACGAAGGACCCGAGCGUUAUCCGGAUUUAUUGGGUUUAAAGGGUGCGUAGGCGGAUUUACGAGUCAGUGGUGAAAUCUCCCAGCUCAACUGGGAAACUGCCAUUGAAACUGUUUAUCUUGAGUACAUUUGAGGCGGGCGGAAUGUGUCAUGUAGAGGUGAAAUUCUUAGAUAUGACACAGAACACCAAUUGCGAAGGCAGCUCGCUAAACUGUAACUGACGCUGAGGCACGAAAGCGUGGGGAUCAAACAGG